UACGUAGGGUCCGAGCGUUGUCCGGAGGUACUGGGCGUAAAGCGCGCGCAGGUGGUUCACUAAGCCCGGCGUGAAAGCCCCCGGCUCAACCGGGGAGGGUCGUCGGGGACUGGUGAACUUGAGGGCGGCAGGGGCUGGUGGAAUCCCCGGUGUAGUGGUGAAAUGCGUAGAGAUCGGGGGGAACACCCGUGGCGAAGGCGGCCAGCUGGGCCGUCCCUGACACUGAGGCGCGAAGGCGUGGGGAGCGAACGGG
rnacentral:rRNA from 1 species